GUACACUCCUGCGGGAGGCAGCAGUGGGGAAUAUUGGACAAUGGGCGCAAGCCUGAUCCAGCCAUGCCGCGUGAGUGAUGAAGGCCCUAGGGUUGUAAAGCUCUUUCACCGGUGAAGAUAAUGACGGUAACCGGAGAAGAAGCCCCGACUAACUUCGUGCCAGCAGCCGCGGUAAUACGAAGGGGGCUAGCGUUGUUCGGAUUUACUGGGCGUAAAGCGCACGUAGGCGGACUAUUAAGUCAGGGGUGAAAUCCCGGGGCUCAACCCCGGAACUGCCUUUGAUACUGGUAGUCUUGAGUUCGAGAGAGGUGAGUGGAAUUCCGAGUGUAGAGGUGAAAUUCGUAGAUAUUCGGAGGAACACCAGUGGCGAAGGCGGCUCACUGGCUCGAUACUGACGCUGAGGUGCGAAAGCGUGGGGAGCAAACAGGAUUAGAUACCCCUGUAGUCCC
rnacentral:rRNA from 1 species